AGUGAACGCUGGCGGUAGGCCUAACACAUGCAAGUCGAACGGCAGCACAGUAAGAGCUUGCUCUUACGGGUGGCGAGUGGCGGACGGGUGAGGAAUACAUCGGAAUCUACUUUUUCGUGGGGGAUAACGUAGGGAAACUUACGCUAAUACCGCAUACGACCUACGGGUGAAAGCAGGGGAUCUUCGGACCUUGCGCGAUUGAAUGAGCCGAUGUCGGAUUAGCUAGUUGGCGGGGAAAGGCCCACCAAGGCGACGAUCCGUAGCUGGUCUGAGAGGAUGAUCAGCCACACUGGAACUGAGACACGGUCCAGACUCCUACGGGAGGCAGCAGUGGGGAAUAUUGGACAAUGGGCGCAAGCCUGAUCCAGCCAUACCGCGUGGGUGAAGAAGGCCUUCGGGUUGUAAAGCCCUUUUGUUGGGAAAGAAAAGCAGCAGGUUAAUACCCCGCUGUUCUGACGGUACCCAAAGAAUAAGCACCGGCUAACUUCGUG
rnacentral:rRNA from 1 species